CGCACGUUCGGGUGGUAGCCUCUGCGUUCCAGUCCGACUAUCUGUGAAUCGUACAGAUGUUUACCGAUUGUCAGACGCUGCUGUCUGAUGUGGCAGUGGUAUCAAAACAAAACCGUGUCCUCACAGAGCUUUCGUGGGUGGGGAGAAGUCAAGUAAACGGAAACAUUCAGAUAGUGACACAGUCAAGGCUCUGAACUCUAAAGAAACAGGAACAUGUGAUUGGAGGAAGGGUGGUUCGACUGGAGGAAAUAACAGAUGGAAAGGCUCCGCAUAAGGAUUUUCGUUGUGAGUUAUUGCGGGGAUUAAGGAGGAGUUUACAGGAGUCACUACAGAGUCACACCAGUCAGGAUGCAGCUCAGCCUACCUCCCACUUAAGUGACAGCAACUUAGUGAAGGUUGCCAAUGACUUCCACUAGGCUAAAUCUCCUGGCUAUUUCUUAGCCCUUGCACUAUGGUCUUUCACAAGAAACUACAAUAAACCAAAUGAAUGUUAAAGGGUGCAAUGCGAUGGUGGUGUAAGCCUUCAAUCCCAGCCCUUGGGAAGCAGAAGGACUCUGAGUUCAAGGCCAACCUGGUCUACAAAGUGAGUUC
rnacentral:lncRNA from 1 species